rnacentral:rRNA from 2 species
GGAUCAUUACCGAGUUUACAACUCCCAAACCCCUGUGAACAUACCACUUGUUGCCUCGGCGGAUCAGCCCGCUCCCGGUAAAACGGGACGGCCCGCCAGAGGACCCCUAAACUCUGUUUCUAUAUGUAACUUCUGAGUAAAACCAUAAAUAAAUCAAAACUUUCAACAACGGAUCUCUUGGUUCUGGCAUCGAUGAAGAACGCAGCAAAAUGCGAUAAGUAAUGUGAAUUGCAGAAUUCAGUGAAUCAUCGAAUCUUUGAACGCACAUUGCGCCCGCCAGUAUUCUGGCGGGCAUGCCUGUUCGAGCGUCAUUUCAACCCUCAAGCACAGCUUGGUGUUGGGACUCGCGUUAAUUCGCGUUCCUCAAAUUGAUUGGCGGUCACGUCGAGCUUCCAUAGCGUAGUAGUAAAACCCUCGUUACUGGUAAUCGUCGCGGCCACGCCGUUAAACCCCAACUUCUGAAUGUUGACCUCGGAUCAGGUAGGAAUACCCGCUGAACUUAAGCAUAUCAA